rnacentral:tRNA from 1 species
ACUGACGUGGCCAAGCGCGGCGGCCGGCUGUCGGCGGGCCAGCGUCAGCUGGUCGCGUUCGCGCGGGCGUUCCUCGCCGACCCGGCGGUGC